rnacentral:rRNA from 1 species
ACAUAACUGAUGCCUCCGCGUAUCGACUUUGUGCGCAUUUUAGCUAUUAUGUGUUCUUUUAAUUAAAAUGAUUCUUUUUAAGAUUCAUCUAUUAAGAAUUUGCUUCGGCAUAAUUUUUUUUGAUGAUCUUGUCACUUUGAGUAAAUUAGAGUGUUCAAAGCAAACAGAUAUAGCAUUUGUGCGUUUGAAUACUACAGCAUGGAAUAACAAAAUUGAACAAGUCAGAAUUUUUUUGUUCUUUUUUCUUAUUUUGGCUUAGUUACGAUUAAUAGGAGUAGCUUGGGGGCAUUUGUAUUCAGAUGUCAGAGGUGAAAUUCUUAGAUUUUCUGGAGACAAACAACUGCGAAAGCAUUUGCCUAAAAUACUUCCAUUAAUCAAGAACGAAAGUUAAGGGAGUGAAGACGAUCAGAUACCGUCGUAAUCUUAACCAUAAACUAUGCCGACUAGGCUUUGGAUGAAAGAUUUUAAAAUAAGAGUUUUUCUUUUCUCUCCGGAGAUUAGAACUCUUAGAUUGCUUCCUUCAGUGCCUUAUGAGAAAUCAAAGUCUUUGGGUUCUGGGGCGAGUAUUCGCGCAAGCGAGAAAGUUAAAAGAAUUGACGGAAGGGCACCACCAGGCGUGGAGCUUGCGGCUUAAUUUGACUCAACACGGGAAAACUCACUAGUUUAAGACAAGAGUAGGAUUGACAGAUUAAUAGCUCUUUCUUGAUUUCUUGGAUGGUGAUGCAUGGCCGUUUUUAGUUCGUGAAUAUGAUUUGUCUGGUUAAUUCCGAUAACGAACGAGAUCUUAACCUGCUAAUUAGCGGCAAAUACGAUAUAUUCUUAUGUAGAAUUGAAUAUAGUGGAUUUGUUGGAUUUUGAAGAAAAUAUUGGAAUUACGUUAAAUGUGAUUCCUUUCCCUUUUCUACUUAAAUUUACAUUUCCAUCUAUUUCUUUUUUGCGUAUGAAUGUAUUUGCUUGAUUGUAAAGCUUCUUAGAGGAACGAUGUGUG